rnacentral:rRNA from 1 species
AACGUAGGUCACAAGCGUUGUCCGGAAUUACUGGGUGUAAAGGGAGCGCAGGCGGGAGAACAAGUUGGAAGUGAAAUCUAUGGGCUCAACCCAUGAACUGCUUUCAAAACUGUUUUUCUUGAGUAGUGCAGAGGUAGGCGGAAUUCCCGGUGUAGCGGUGGAAUGCGUAGAUAUCGGGAGGAACACCAGUGGCGAAGGCGGCCUACUGGGCACCAACUGACGCUGAGGCUCGAAAGUGUGGGUAGCAAACAGG